rnacentral:lncRNA from 1 species
AAAAAAAAUGUAAUCUCAACAGUUUUGAAAAUUAUCACUCUCAAUGAUCUAUUAAAAAGAUGAAAAGAUUACAUGUUAGGGUCCUAAAAAAGGUGCAGACACAUGAACAAAAAACCUAAUUACAUCCAAAAACAGGAGUCAUUUGCCUUCUUGGACCUCCGCAGCCCCAAGGAUACGUUCAAAACGGUGACUGUCACAAGAAUGAAGGAUACAAGAAACCCAUAUCGUAUUUUCCACCCCGAGCCUGCUUCUGCCACUAAAAGUCCAAUCACAAUAUUCAGAGCUCCCAAGAAGAGAGCAAGUCUCCCUACCCAGUGAUGUUUUCAGCAUUACCUGAAGUAAACUUAGAAUCAAUGCCAUUACCUGAGAAGAAGUAAACUUAGUUUUCAGCAUGCUUGAAGAAAUAUAUUUAGUUAAUGUCGAGUAAAGGCCUAGCCCGAGCCAAAACAAACCUGAAGAAUGCUAAGGAAAAGCACUAAGGAUUCGAGGGGUCUGAAUCUUGAAUUUGCAAAUGCGAUCGGACUCCAGUCCAUUGUAGAGUGUCCUUCCUACGACAACAGUAGCAAAAUCCAGAAGAAAACUCACAAUCUGGAUCAAGAUAUGAAGAUAAAACCAUUGAGGAUCAUGAUGCUUGAAGUAUCUUGGAAGGAGCACGCCCCAUGCAAUUGGGCCCAUGGCUCCAUGACGCGCCUUCAAACCUCCAGAGUUACUGACACCAGAGGUAUAUCCUGUGAGACACAAACAGAAAGUUUCCAUAUCAGGCUUAAAAGAGUAUUACCUGAAGCUCCCACUUUAUUUUCCUAGAUAUAAGCCCCUCACGUCUAGAACGUAAAAUCCUCUAUUCUCUGUUCAAAUUUCAGCUUUGCAAUUGGAGUCAAUACAUCUCGUAUUCAGUUCAAUCCUCAUCUUUUGCUGGCCUCCUAAAUUCUAAACCCUGUCUGGGUUUUCCAGUUUUGUGAAAAAUUACAUCAGGGGGACCCAACAGGAUGGGAUCUGAUUCAAUGUUAGAGACAAAAUUUUGGAAAAAUCUGCAAAACCCUCAACAGUUGUGGCCAUAGCUCAAGACCAAGAGGGGAAUUUACAAUGUCAUAAUGCUGAUGAAUGCUUCAUAGACUGCUCUACCAUACUAGAGUUUGACGGAAUGCCUGUCCUUUGUUGAAAGACAUGAAGUUCCUCACAUGCUCGAGCAGGAAGAACCUUGGCUGAAAGUAAUCGGCAAAGGAUAAGAAGGCCAGGAUCAUUUCACCCUGGACUUUACUCCAGUUACUUUGGUUACAUGGAUUCAUCCCAGAGAAACCCUGUGAAGAUGGCAGCCUUGUUUUAGCUCCUAGAAUAGAGUAAAAAAACAGAGCAGAAGCUGAUCAAACCGGGCAUGGAGGCCCCCCGUUGAUAAAAUCAACUUGUCCAAGCAUCCGGUGAUGCAGAUUAUUUGGCAGCCUCAGAAGUAGAGACACAGUCAUCUGACAUUCCCACGCUCCUCCACGACAGCCCUGCGUCACAACCAAUUUACGGGUCAAUUACAAAUUGAGAGACAGAGGAAAAGAGAUUUUCAUGUUAAUGAAAUCAUUCACCUCAGGAUCGAACUGCAAUUGUUAACACACAUCAAUAAUUCUGGAUGAUUGAAUUUAAGUGCAUCCCCAGCAGGCUCUUCAUAUUCAGCAGGCUCUUCACCUUGAUUAGACCCCUCACGUCAACUAGGAAUUUAAAAUAAUCACAUUCUUUAACAUAAAUGUCAUCAAAUAGGACUCUUUGGCUGAUAUAGAUACAAAUGAACUACCUGCUUGAGGGACCCUUCAAACAAAAAUAUGUUCCAAAGGUUGCAAGGACAUCACAUUUCCCCUCUUCAUCUCAACAGGAACAGAAUGGGUCUCUUCACGGUAGUACACCUGCACAUUCCACCCUUCAAAUAUCUUAGGAAAAUAAUAUAAUUGUAGUUUUAUAUUAUAAUAGAAGUACAAACAAGACAUUAUGCUUGCACCCACCCCAUGGAUGUCAUAACAGUAUGCCUUAUCUGCUGAAACUUCCUCAGACCUGAUAAAUCUUCUUACUUCACCCAAUAUAAGCUUUUACAGUAAUAAUCAAUUGAUAACAAAUUUACAUGGAGAAGUGAGGACCCUCAGCUAGUUUCACCCCCAUGACCAUGAUCCUGCAGCUCAAGCAAUGUAAUCAUGGAAAACGGUUUCGACAAUGGUGGCCACUGUGUUGAGAGUGCUCGAGCAACUUGUUGCAUAGUUGGCCGAGAUUGGGGAUUAACACGCAAGCAUGCAAAUGCCAACUUCACUGCAACCUCUACUUCCUUUGCCACUUGAUUCACAGGAGGUGAGGGGCGCUGGUCUAUCACAUCAUUCAACAGGAAAUGGUCGGCAGUUGAUGGUGAUGUAGAUGAGGAGGACGCUGAUGAUAACAGGGAUGAGAUGAGUUCUCCAGGAUGCCUCCCCAUAAUUACUUCCAAUGUUACAACACCGUAACUAUAAACAUCGGUUUUAUAAUCCACCUUCAUUGAGUAUGCAAGUUCUGCAAAGAAGAUUAGAUCAUGCUCUGCUCUGCUAAGCAAGUAUAAAAGUUACAUAUGAUGUGUAGAGGCCGUUUAGAGAUAAUCAAGGCACUAAGAAAAAUGUACCUGGAGCAGUAUAACCAAAAGUUCCUGCAAAUGAAGUCCAAUUAGAUGAGUCUGACUUUAAAAGCCUAGCUGUGCCAAAGUCAGAUACAUGAGCUUCAUAUUCUGAAUCUAACAAAACAUUGUUACUUGAUAUGUCUCGAUGAAUUAUAGGAGGUGAGCAAUCAUGGUGCAUAUAAGAUAAAGCUUUAGCCACGCCUUUAACAACGUUUAGCCUCACAAUCCAAUCUAAUUUUUCUGCUUCUUCGUCGUUUCUUAGAAUGCUUCGCAAGCUUCCCUUUUCCAUAAACUCAUAAACCAAAAAUGAGUUCUCUGCAAAUAAACUGAAGCCAUAAAGCUUGACGAUAUUGCGAUGCCUUAUCUGUGUUAAAGCAUGAAUCUCGCUUUUGAAAGCUUUCAAAUCAGCCAUAUCUCCAUCUUGUGAUGAGUGAAGCUUUUUCACAGCAACAACCCGACCUGUUGGCAACUCAGCCUUGUAAACAGUACCAUAUCCUCCAGUGCCAAUACACUGCUUCGAACUGAAAUUGUCGGUCCCCUGUAUGAUGUGUUCAUACAGCAAUUCCCCAUCAUGGCCCCAUAUUGCAAAUAGAUCUUCAACAUCUGCUUUUGGAGACUUGGUUUUUCUCUUCCUCAAUUUUUGGAAAAGAAAAAAAAUGCCAAUAACAAAAGCAAAUAAGAACAAUAGACUGCUCACAAUGAGGAGUAUUAUGAUCAAAAUAGAAAACUUGUUGGCCUUCUUUCGACUAGCACUACAUGGCUUGAGAUGAGUGACAUUAUUACCACACAGACCUUUAUUAUUUUUGAAUGCCUCAAAUGGAGCAAAGGCAUUGAUGUUGGGGAGAGGACCUUCCAAUUGAUUGUAGGAUAUAUCAGCAACUGUCAAACUUCUCAAAUCAUCAAACGUGUGUGGAAUGGUGCCAGAUAGCCCGUUGUGGGAGAGAUUCAACGUUUCCAGGUUCUGUAAUUCUCCAAGCCGCGGUGGCAUCUCUCCUGUCAGCAUAUUUUGACUAAGAUCGAGACUUUGAAGAUGAUGCAUCUUUCCAAUUUCGUCAGGAAUGCUAUCCACAAAUCUAUUCUCGCUCAUGUUCAAGGACCAUAAUUUCCAGAAGUUUCCCAGUUGCUUGGGAAUUGGACCGCUUAAGUUGUUUGAUGCCAAGUCAAGGAUUUCAAGAUCGGAUAAGUUUCCCAAUUCCAGAGGAAUACUUCCUGAAAGUUUGUUGUUGCCUAGCAACAGCUUGAACAGUAAAGGAAGCAUACCCAAUUCUUUUGGGAUCUUCCCAAUUAGAUGAUUUGAGGAGAGAUCAAGUUGUUGCAGUUGAAUUGCUUUCCCAAGUUGAGGUGGUAUAGCACCAGAAAUUUUGUUAUUGGAGAUGUUCAGGUUUGUGAGCAUGUGGCACUCCCCCCAUUUCUCAGAAAGCUCACCAUAAAAAUUGUUAUUGCUCAGAUCAAUAUAAUUUAGAUUAGGGUAUACACCAAAACUUUCGGCUAUGUCUCCAGUAAGUUGGUUUUUUUCAAGCCUAACUCUGAAUAAGCUAGUGCAAUUUUUCAAGCUCUUUGGAAUAGGACCAGUGAAAUGGUUCCUUGCGGCUGAAACUUUUUCAAGAGCAUUACCAAGGCAUAUCUCUUGUGGUAGGUGGCCAAUGAAGUUAUUCUCACCUAUCUGCAAAGAUUUCAAAUGAGUGACAUUAUUCAUUUCUCGGGGAAUGGCACCACUGAGUUUGUUGGAAUGAAGAGCCAAAGUGGUUAAGCUGGACAAGUUUCCUAUAGAAGCUGGUAUUGAACCACUGAGAUUGUUAAAUGAUAAGUCAAGAAUAUUAAGCAAUCUCAACAAUCCGAUUUCUCGAGGGAUAUAACCAGAAAGGUCAUUUUGAGAAAGAUACAAAGUGGUUAAGUUCCUCAAGUUUCCUACAAAAGAAGGGAUUGGACCAGUGAGAUUAUUACUUCCCAACUCAAGAACUAUAAGAGAUCUUAGUAACUCAAAUUCUUGAGGGAUGAAUCCAGAAAGUUUGUUACCAUAAAGAUAUAAAAGGCUUAACUUGGACAAGUUUCCUAAGGAAGCUGGUAUUGAACCGCUAAGAUUGUUGUUUGCCAAGUCAAGAUUCUCAAGUGAUGUCAAUAAUCCAAUUUCUUCAGGAAUGGAGCCAGAAAGUUGGUUACCAUAAAUGUAUAAAAUAAUUAAGUUCUUCCAAUUUUCUAUGGAAGUUGGUAGUGAACCAUUGAGAUUGUUAUAUGACAAGACUAGAUAAUUAAGAGAUCUCAACAAUGUAAUUUCUUGAGGAAUAGAAUCAGAUAGGUUGUUUGAAUUAAGGUACAAAGUGGUUAAGUUCCUCAAGUUACCUAUGGAAGAAGGGAUUGGACCAAUGAGAUUGUUAGUUGACAAAUCAAUACCAGUAAGAGAUCUCAAUAAUCCAAUUUCUUGAGGAAUAAAACCAGAUAGUUUGUUUCUCGGAAGGAGCAAAGUGGUUAAGUUCCUCAAAUUACCUAUGGAAGGAGGGAUUGAGCCAAUGAGAUUAUUAGUUGACAAAUCAAUAACAUUAAGAGAUCUCAACAAUCCAAUUUCUUGAGGAAUAGAACCAGAUAGGUUGUUUGAAUUAAGGUACAAUGUGGUUAAGUUCCUCAAGUUCCCUAUGGAAGGAGGAAUUGGGCCUUUGAAAUUAUUAGAAGACAAUGCUAGAAAGCUAAGAGAUGUUAGAAAUCCAAAUUGGUCAGAUAUCACACCAAUGAAAUGAUUGAAACGAAAGUCCAAAACUAUGAUCAGUUUGGAAAGAUUGCCAAUGUUGAUUGGAAUGGUUCCAUAGAGGGAGUUGUUAUAAAGAUUAAGAGUAAGGAGGUUGGAAAGUGAUGAAAAAUUGAGUUUAUGGAGUGUACCUCUCAAACCGCAACUUUGAAGGUCUAAAUCGGAGACACUUCCUGACCUGUGACAAGUCACUCCGAACCAAUGAUGGCAAGAAUUGCGUCCAGACCAAGAAAAGAGGAAAGAUUGGGUUUGAUUAUCAAGACUGGCCUUCCAUGUUAGAAGAGCGAGUGCUUCUUGAUCUUGUUCAACUUUUGAAAAAGAAGUGAUAGGUGUAGAGGCAAAUGUAAAAGUGACAUGGAAUGAUGAUAUUGAGUACAAAAGGAAAAGGAGAAAUAUGAAGAAGCAAGGAGUGAUGAUGAGUCGGGGGAGUAAGGAGUAGGAUGAAGAAUAUUCAAGGGUCAUUGUUGAAUUGGUAGAAAUGAAGUUAUUAGGAGGUUUACUUGGAGGGAAGGAAGAAGAUGAAACACUUAUUUAUAGGCUUAAAUGUGAUACAUCCAAUAUUUCCAUUGGUUUGUGUUGACAUCCAACUACCUCCUUGGUCUACAAUUAAUGGAAUUGAAAAGGAUCAGAGUAUAUACAUUAAUUCAAUUCCACACUUAUUUUAUUUUAUUUUAUCAAAAUGCUCUUAAUUUUUUAAUUAAAAUGAAAUUAUUAAGAAUAUUCAUUUUUCACUCCAUUCACUUUUAAAUAUAAUUUGUUUGAAAUUAAUAAUUACAAUUCUUUCUAAGAAGUAAGGAUCAAAUAUGACCAUGUCAAUAUCCUAGUUGAUAUAGGAAGCCCACUUGAGCAACAUUACUUGUACAUGUGCCUUCAUAUUAGCCACUUGAUAUAUAUUUUUUUUCAAAAAUUAAUAAAUAUAAGCUUUAAUGAGAGCAAAGAGAAUCGGGUACAUAUUUUAUUAUUAAAAAAUCUGCCAUGAAAUUUUUUUUGGUAGGCUUAUGUUUUGCAUAAGAUAUAUAUAUUCAUUUUGCAUCAAGAAAUUGAAAAACAAAAAUUGAUUUAUUUGUUACUCAUAAAAUAAUUGAGAUCAUGCAUGGAAUUGCAUAUCAUCAAUUCUUCAUGAAGAAUUGGCUUGUAAGAACUUGAUAUUUUUAAAUAUUUAAUUAGAAAUAUGUAAUAUUUACUAAGUUGAUUACAUUUCUUCUUUAAUUUGGUUUAGGUUUAGGUUUCUAAAAUUAUUAGUUCUCAAAUAUCUUAUUUUAAUUGUAUUAGAUAAGAAUCUAUAUAUAAUUAUCAUUUUCACAAUAUUGUUAAAUUACUCAUUUCUAGAAUUUUUUAUUAGGUUAACAAAUGUUAAUAGUUUGAAAUAUUUGAAAAUAUGUUCAUUACCAUUUUUUUUUUGUCAAAUUAUUAGUCUUGAAAUAUUUUUAUCAUAAUUAUAUAAAAUAAAAGAAAAUAUAAUAAACUUAACACUUAAGAACAUUUAGAUACCACUUUAAACAAAUAUAUUAUUCAAAGUCAUCCACCUAGCUAUUACAUAAAUGAAGUUAUAGUUAACAUUCAUAUUAAUAAAUAAAUAAAUGUUACCUAGUAGUACGACAUAACCACACCAUUGUAGCUGAACUUUUCUUCUCUAAGUAGACUUCUUAUGAAAACUUUAUUUAUUUUUAGACUGCAUUCAAAUAAGGAUGUAUUGUGAAUUAAUUAGUAACUAGUAAAAUUUGCUUGUACUGUUUAUUAUUAUUAAAAGAGAUUUCUUACUUAUCAAUUAAAAUUACAUAUGUUGAUAUGAACAUAAAAUUCCCUUUUCAACUACAUGCAUUUCUAAUCAAGUUUUUUGUUGUUUUUAAUAGAGUGGAAUAGUCAUUGGUUUACUUGUUCUUAUCAAUAAUUGUUUUCAAGAAUCUAGACCCAAUAUUCAUAUCAUCAAUGGUAGCCAUCAAUUAUCCUAGUUGACGUGAGGGGUCUAAUCAAGGUGAAGUAUAUAUGAGCUUCAUGUAUUAAAUCUUACUAUUAAAAUAGAAAGUGAGGAUUGAAUCCAUUGUAUUAAGGCUAAGUAGUAGCCAUUACAAUGGUGGAACCUAGAUUUUUUUUUUUCCCUUUUUAAAAGGUAAAAUUUGUAUUGAAACUUCAUCUAUGUCAAGGCAUAGCACAAAUGACGGGUGGCAUGCUUUCAAGUAGAAAUAAAAUAGAAUUUCAUUUUAUAAAUAGGUUAUUUUACCAUUGUUGUAAAUGAUUUCUUUUACUGUUUCCUUCCCAAGAGUCAAGAACUCCAAGAUAUUCGCUUCACAAUAUUUCCCAUCCAAUCAUUCCCAUCAAUUCUUCAUGAAGAAUUGGCUUGUAAGAGACUGGUUUUUUUUUUUUUUAAGUAUUUAAUUAGAAACAUGCAAUAAAAGGAUUAUAUAUACUUUUUCUUUAAAAAUAUAUAAUUAUUAUUUCUUAAGAUGGUACUGUUAAAUUACUAAUUUUUAAAAUAUUUAUUAUUGUAACACAUGUUAAUAUUUUGGAAAAGAAAUUAUUACUAUUUUUUUUUCAAACUAUUAGUCUGGAAAUAUUUUUUUAAUUAUAAAAAAUAGAAACAAAUAUGAUAAUUAUUUUUGUAUAGAUAACGAUAUUUAAUUAGUAAUUUUUAGAUAUUCGUAGCAUGUAAAAAAAAGUAGACUUGACAUUUAAGAACAUUUAGAUACACUUUAAGCAAAUAUAUUAUUCAAAGUCGUUGCCAACUUCAAAUCAUCUUAAAAGACUUGCCUCAUAGUUUUAGAUGCAUUUAUGACUUUGAUAGAAUGCAUGACUUUGAUAUGUGGUACCAACUCAAAAAUACCAAAAACCACUUAAAUAAUUACUCGUGCUUGACCCAUUUUUAACUCUUUGCCCAACUUGAAAUCAUCCUAAAAAAACUUGUACCAUAGUUUUCACAUACAUUCAUAACUUUCAUAGGUAUUGUCGACUUUCAAAUAACAAAAAUGACCAAAAUAAUUGCUCCUACUUACCUAUUUUAAAGUCUUUGCCCAACUUGAAAUCAUCUUUAAAAAAUUGUCUCAUACUUUCACAUGUGUUUUUUACUUUGAUAGACCAUGCCAACUUUGUGCUUAACCCAUUUUAAAGUCUUUUCCCAACUUGAAAUCAUCUUAAAAAACUUGUUCCAUAGUUCUCACAUGCAGUCAUGAAUUUCAUAGGUAGUGUCAGCUUCUAAAAUAGAAAAAUGACUCGAUCCAUUUUAAAGUCUUUGCCUAACUUGAAAUCAUCUUAAAAAACUUGUCUCAUAGUUUCACAUGCAUUCAUGACUUUGAUAAGUAGUGUCAACUUCGUGCUUGACCCAUUUUAAUGUCUUUGCCUAACUUGAAAUCAUCAUAAAAAACUUAUCCCAUAGUUUUGCAUGCAUUCAUAACUUUGAUAGGUAGUGUUAACUUCCUACUUGACCCAUUUUAAAGUCUUUGACAACUUUAAAUCAUCUUAAAAAAUUUGUCUCAUAGUUUUACAUGCAUUUAUGACUUUGAUAGAAUGCAUGACUUUGAUAUGUGGUACCAACUAAAAAUACCAAAAACCACCGAAAUAAUUGAGCAAGAUUAACCCAUUUUAAAGUCUUUGGCCAACUUGAAGUAGUUUUCACAUACAUUCAUGACUUUGAUAGAUAGUGUCAACUUUCAAAUAAUACGAAUAACCAAAAUAAUUGCUCUCGCUUCACCCAUUUUAAAGUCUUUGCCUAACUUGAAAUCAUCUUUAAAAAACUUGUCUCAUAGUUUCACAUGUAUUUGUUACUUUGAUAGGCCAUGUCAACUUUGUGCUUAACCCAUUUUAAAGUCUUUGCCUAACUUAAAAUCAUCUUAAAAAACUUGUCCCAUAGUUCCAUAUGUAUUCAUGACUUUGAUGGGUAGUGUUAACUUUGUGCUUGACCCAUUUUAAUGUUUUUGCCCAACUUGAAAUCAUCUUAAAAAACUUAUCUUAUAGUUUCACAUGCAUUCAUAACUUUGAUAGGCAGUGUUAACUUCUUGCUUGGCCCAUUUUAAAGUCUUUUGCCAACUUCAAAUCAUCUUAAAAGACUUGUCUCAUAGUUUUACAUGCAUUUAUUACUUUGAUAGAAUGCAUGACUUUGAUAUGUGGUACCAACUCAAAAUCCCAAAAACCACUGAAAUAAUUGCUCGUGCUUGACCCAUUUAAAAGUCUUUGCCCAACUUGAAAUCAUCUUAAAAAGCUUGUCUCAUAGUUUUCACUUGCGUUCAUGACUUUGAUAGGUAGUGUCGGCUUCUAAAUAAAAAAAAAAACAACCAAAAUAAUUGCUCUUGCUUGACCACUUUUAAAGUCUUUGCCUAACCUGAAAUCACCUUAAAAACUUAUCCCAUAGUUUCACAUGUACUUAUGAAUUUGAUAGGCACCGUUGUUAAGUUCGUGCUUGAGCCAUUUUAAAGUGUUUGCCUAACUUAAAAUCAUCUUAAAAAACUUGUCCCAUAAUUCUCACAUAUAUUUAUGAAUUUGAUAAGUAGUGUUGAUUUCUAAAUAAGAAAAACAAUCAAAAUAAUUGUUUGUGCUCGAUCUAUUUUAAAGUCUUCGCUUAACUUGAAAUCAUAUUUAAAAAACUUGUCCCAUUGUUUCACAUGCAUUCAUGACUUUGAUAGGUAAUGUUAAUUUCACGCUUGACCCAUUUUAAAGUCUUUACCCAACUUGAAAUCAUAUUAAAAAGAACUUGUUCCAUAGUUUUCACAUGCACUCAUGACUUUGAUAGGUAGGGUUGACUUCCAAAUAACAAAAAUGACCAAAAUAAUUGCUCAUAUGCUUGACUCAUUUAAAAAUAUUUUCCUAACUUGAAAUCAUCUUAAAAAACUUGUCCCAUAGUUUCACACAUAUUUAUGACUUUGAUAGGUAACGUAAACAACAUGCUUAACCCAUUUUAAAGUCUGUGCCCAACUUGAAAUCAUCUUAAAAACCUUGUCUAAUAGUUGUCACAUGCAUCAUGACUUUUCUAGGCAGUGUCGACUUCCAAAUAACAAAAACAACCAAAAUAAUUGCUCAUGCUUAACCCAUUUUAAAGUCUUUGCCUAACUUGAAAUCAUCUUAAAAAACUUGGCCAAUAGUUUCGCAUGCAUUUAUGACUUUGAUAAGUAGUAUCAAGUUCAAAAUACCAAAAACAACCAAAAUAAUACUCAUGCUUGACUCAUUUUAAAGUCUUUGCCCAACUUGAAGUCAUCUUUGUUUGAUUGUGAAGCCUUUAUUAGUCUUAUGGCACUAUGCAAAUGCUAUUGGGGAAUCGAGCUCAAAUUGUUAACAUUUUCUUUUUAUUUGUUGAAGGACGACUUUUCCUCUAUAGUUGUUAUAUUUAACCCUCUCAUAAUUUAGGAUUUCGUGUGAAAGUUUAGAAGAGAAGGAGACUAUUCACUAUUGUAACCUUUUUACCUUCUUUUGAUUAGUGGAUUAUUGAGUGUUAGUGCACUCCCUAUUAGUGUACUUUGUAGAAGUAGGGAUCAUAUUGAUCAUCGAACCAUACUAAAAUCUCAAAAAUUAAUAAAUAUAAGCUUUAAUGAGAGCAAAGAAAAUUGGGCACAUAUUUUAUUAUUAAAAAAUCUGCCAUGAAAAUUUUUUUGGUAGGCUUAUGAUUUUGCAUAAGAUAUAUAUAUAUAUAUAUUCAUUUUGCGUCAAGAAAUUGAAAAACAAAAAUUGAUUUAUUUGUUACUCAUAAAAUAAUUGAGAUCAUGCAUGGAAUUGCAUCUCAUCAAUUCUUCAUGAAGAAUUGGCUCGUAAGAAAUUGAUAUUUUUAAAUAUUUAAUUAGAAAUAUGUAAUAUUUACUAAGUUGAUUACGUUUCUUCUUUAAUUUGGUUUAGGUUUCUAAAAUUAUUAGUUCUCAAAUAUCUUAUUUUAAUUGUAUUAGAUAAAAAUAUAUAUAAUUAUCAUUUUCACAAUAUUGUUAAAUUACUCAUUUCUAUAUUUUUUUUUAUGUUAACAAAUGUUAAUGGUUUGAAAUAUUUGAAAAUAUGUUCAUUACCAUUUUUUUGUCAAAUUAUUAGUCUUGAAAUAUUUUUAUCAUAAUUAUAUAAAAUAAAAGCAAAUAUAAUAAACUUAACACUUAAGAACAUUUAGAUACCACUUUAAACAAAUAUAUUAUUCAAAGUCAUCCACCUAGAUAUGACAUAAAUGAAGUUAUAGUUAACAUUCAUAUUAAAAAAUAAAUAAAUGUUACCUAGUAGUACAUAAUAACCACACCAUUGUAGCGGAACUUUUCUCCUCUAAGUAGAUUUCUUAUGAAAACUUUAUUUAUUUUCAGACUGCAUUCAAAUAAGGAUGUGUUUUGAAUUAAUUAAUAACUAAUAAAAUUUGCUUGUACUGUUUAUUAUUAUUAAAAGAGAUUUCUUACUUAUCAAUUAAAAUUACAGAUGUUGAUAUGAACAUAAAAUUCUCUUUUCAACUACACGCAUUUCUACUGAAGGCUUUUGUUGUUCUCAAUAGAGUGGAAAAGUCAUUGCUUUACUAGUUCUAAUCAAUAAUUGUUUUCAAAUAAUCUAGACCCAAAAUUCAUAUCAUCAAUGGUAGCCAUCAAUUAUCCUAGUUUACGUGAGGGGUCUAAUCAAGGUGAAGUAUAUAUGAGCUUCAUGUAUUAAAUCUUACUAUUAAAAUAGAAAGUGAGGAUUGAAUCCAUUGCAUUAAGGCUAAGUAGUAGCCAUAACAAUGAUGGAACCUAGAUUAUUAUUUUUCCCUUUUUAAAAGGUAAAAUUUGUAUUGAAACUUCAUCUAUGUCAAGGCAUAGUACAAAUGAAGGGUGGCAUGUUUUCAAGUAGAAAUAAAAUAGAAUUUCAUUUUCUAAAUAGGUUAUUUUACCAUUGUUGUAAAUAAUUUAUUUGACUUCUUCCUUCCCAAGAGUCAAGAACUCCAAGAUAUUUGCUUCACAAUAUUUCCCAUCCAAUGAUCCCAUCAAUUCUUCAUGAAGAAUUGGCUUGUAAGGGACUGAAUUUUUUUUUUUUUUUUAAGUAUUUAAUUAGAAACAUGCAAUAAAAUGAUUAUACUUUUUCUUUAAUUUGGUUUAGGUUUCUAAAAUCAUUAUUUCUCAACUAUCUUAUUUUAAUUAUAUCAAAUAAAAAUAUAUAAAUAUUAUUUCUUAAGAUGGUACUGUUAAAUUACUAAUUUUUAAAAUAUUUAUUAUUGUAACACAUGUUAAUAUUUUGGAAAAGAAAUUAUUACUAUUUUUUUUUCAAACUAUUAGUCUUGAAAUAUUUUUUUUAAUUAUAUGAAAUAAAAACAAAUAUGAUAAUUAUUUUUGUAUAGAUAACAAUUUUUAAUUAGUAAUUUUUAGAUAUUCAUAGCAUGAAAAAAAAAGUAGACUUGACAUUUAAGAACAUUUAGAUACCACUUUAAGCAAAUAUAUCAUUCAAAGUUAUACAUCUAGCUCUAUUAGAUUUAAGUUAAAUAAAUGAAGUUAUAGUCGAAAUUCAUAUUAAAAAACAAAUGUUACCUAAAAGUAAUUCCUAUGAUAUUGUAGCGAAACACAAUUUUUUUUCCUUUAAGUAGAAUUAUAUGAAAACUUCAUUUAUUUUUAGCGUAUAUUAAAUUAUUGAUUUGUCUUGAAUUAAUUAAGAAACUAAAAAAAUUAUUUGUACUAUUUAUUAUUAUUAAAAAAGAUUUCUUAUUUGUCAAUUAAAAUUACAUAUUUACAUAUGAAUAUAAAGUUCCCUUUCCAAUUGCAUGUUUUUAAUCAAGACUUUUGUUGUCUUUGAUAGGAUGGAAAAGUCAUUGCAUUCCUAAUUUUUUUUAUCAACAAUUGUGUGCAAAAGUUGUUGCAUUCCUAACUUUUAUCAACAAUUGUGUGCAAAAGUAAUUGCAUUCCUAAUUCUUUUGUACAAUUGUUUUCAAAGAAUGUAUAUCUAAUAUUUACAUUAUCAAUGGUAUAUGUCAAUGAUCCUAAUUUAUGUGAGUGGUCUAAUUAGAGUGAAGUAUAUAACAACUUCAUUUAUUAAAUCUUAGUAUUAAAAUAAAAAGUAGCGCUUGAAUACAUUGUAUCAAGGCUUUAGGAACAACAUUAUUAAUGAUGGGAAUCUAAAUCAAAUGAAAAGAUUUCUUAUUUGUCAAUUUAAAUUACAUAUUUAGAUAUGAAUAUUAAGUUUUCUUUUCAAUUGCAUGUUUUUAGUCAAAACUUUGAUCGUAUUUAACAGGGUGGAAAAUUUGUUGCAUUCCUAAUUCAUAUCAAUAGUUGUAUGGAAAAGUCAUUGCAUUCUUAAUUCUUGUCAACAAUUGUGCGGAAAAGUCAUUGCAAUUGAAUACAUUGUAUCAAGGCUUAAGGAAUAACAUUAUUAAUGUUAGGAAUCUAAAUCAAUUGAAAAGAUUUCUUAUUUCUUAAUUAAAAUUACAUAUUUAGAUAUGAAUAUAUAUAAAGCUUCCUUUCCAACGGCAUGUUUUUAGUCAAGACUUUUACCGUCUUAAAUAGGGUGGAAAAUUUGUUGCAUUCCAAAUUCAUAUCAACAAUUGUGUGGAAAAGUCAUUGCAUUCCUAAUUCUUGUCAAUAGUUGUGUGGAAAAGUCAUUGCAUUCUUAAUUCAUAUCAACAAUUGUGUGAAGAAGUGGUUUCAUUCCCAAUUCUUGUUAACAAUUGUGUGGAAAAGUCAUUGCAUUUCUAAUUUUUAUCAACAAUUGUUUUCAAGGAAUCCAUACCUAGUAUGCACGUUAUCAGUGGUAGACGUCAAUUGCAAAUAAUUUCUUUUGCGUCUUGAAGAUUUUUACUUCAUAAUGUUGAGCAAAGAUGCAUCUAUUUAAGAGUGGUUUGUGCUUUUUAUAAUAGGUAUUGUGAAAAAGGACAUGUUCAAAAUAUAAAUUUUGUUAAUUUUUUCAAAUCAUAUUGCAUUAUUUUAAUUCAAUUUUCAAGUUAAUUAAAAGUGAAACUUAGAUCAAGGAUUGGACAUAAUAACAACAUUUCCUAUUAAUUGAUUUAAUAAUAAAAAAGAUGAGUUUUUUUUUCAAAUACAUAUAUGUCAAAGAGAAUUUAUGUUAUACUUUUCUUAUAGAUAUGAAGGAAAUAAUAAAAAGAAAAGUUUCAUGACUGAAUAUAUCACUCAAUUUAAUUCAGAAAACUUAUUUUUGAAUAUUUGUGGUUUAGUUCAAUUCCAUGACUAAAUCAUUGGCCAUGUUUAUUGGGUCUUAAAGUCUUGGUCAAACUUGAUGUAAUAUUUUAACUACCAAUGAAAAAUAAAUAAAGUGAUAAAUUGACUAAGAGCUCAUUUGGAAAGUAGGGCCAAAAAUGACUUCAAAUUCUUAAAGAGUAUGUUUUACUAAAAAUUAAUCAUUUGAAAAAAAAAAUUGUAAUCAUUUUAAAGUUAUAAAACAAUCGAGGGUACUUCUUAAAUAAAGACUUGAUAAAUACUUCUAAAAGACAUUAUAGAAAACUCGUGAAAAAUAUUUGAAUUUCAAAUAAUUGUUCUUGUUAAAAAAAAAAAGAAUACAUUUUUCAAGCAUUUUUAUUAAAAAGACUUUCAAAUAUAUUUUUACUUGAUAUCCUUGAAUUGUUAAUACGAUUGUGAACUCCAUUUAAUUUUUUUUCUUUAAAAAGUUGGGCAAAUCAUCAAAAAUGGUAGGUCAUGUGUGAUAAUUCUUUUCAAGGAUCACCAUGUUUACAAGUUCAUGUUAGUCCUCAAGUAAUGAUUUAAAAGUUGACAAUUUCAUAAUUCUAAUUAUACCGUCUUUUAUCUUUUCCUCUUAUUCCCAUUCAACUUUACUUUCUUUUUUUUUCUUUUAUAAUUUUUUUACUCAUUUUUGUUAUGAGGUAUUAAUAUUAUUGUUUAGAUAUUAGUAGAAUUAUUCUUGUUAUUAUUAAUAUCAUUCUUAUUAAUAUUAUUUAUUAUUUUUAUAAUUAUUAUGGACUUUAUUAUUCAUAUUUUUAAUAUUAUAGUAAAAAUAAUAUUAUUAUAUUUUUAUCAUUAGUACUACAAAGAAACCUGGAAGAUAAUUUAUAUAUUUUUUUAAUUCUUAAGGCUUGUAAGCUUUAUUAAAAAAUUAUUUAUUUAUUUAUUUGUUUUGCCUUUUAUGCUUUAUAUGCUACAUUAAGACUAAUUAAAUUAUUAUUGACACCCCAUUAAUAUUAUUAUUUAUGAUAUUAGUUUUAUAUAAUUAAUAAAACUAAUAUUAUAUCAAAGUUAUAGAUAUGACAAAAAUGCAUUGAUCUUACAACAUUAAUAUUUUAAAUAUAUAAUAUAUUAAGACAUAACCUAAUUUUAUUUUAAUUCUUUUUUUAAACAAACACCUAUGAAUAGUUGCUCUAUACUCCUUAAAAUUUUGUAAAUGGCUUCAAAAUGUAAGGACAACAUUUAUAUAUUGUACUUAAAACAUAAAUAUGCUAAAAAUAUAAUGCAUUAUGACAAGCCUUAAUUUUACUUUUUAACAAUUAUAAAAACAAAUAUUUUUAUUGUAAUAUUUUCUUAACAGUUCUAUUACAAAAUUAAACAUUUUAAAAUUGAUGAAAUCUAUAUAAUAAAAAUUAUAAUAGCUUUAUAUUUUUAAUUAUCAAAAUGAAACAAUAAUUUGUAAAUUUAAUAUAUUAUAUAUUAUUAUGAUUAUUAUUAUUAUUAUUAUUAGUAUUAGUAUUAUUAUGGAUAAGUUAUUGAUAAUAUUUUUAAAAUAAUAAUUAAUAAAAUUGUAAUUUAUAAUUAAUGUUUAUAUUAUAUAUAUGAAUUGAUAUUAAUAAUAAUAUUACUUGAUAGGUUAAUAAUAAUAAUAAUAAUAAUUAGAAAAGAAAAAGAGAAAAUAGAGAAAAGAGGGAUAUGCUUGGUUUUAAAGUGGAAAGAGUCAGAGUAUACUUAACUUUUUGUAUUUUGAGGCAUGUGGAAGACUUAUCAAAGUUGAUGACCUUUUUGGGACAUUAUCACCUAGCUAUAACUCAUCCUAUAUGGAAAUUUUCCCUAAAAUGUUUUCCUAAUGGGUUUAAAAUCCCUCCUGAAAGCACAUGAGGAUAUUUAUGAACUAUUUGAAUGGAAAUUGGAGCUAAAAUCAACCAUAAGAGUGACUUAGUUUAGUGGAAUAUAUAGUUAGAAGAUAAAUCCAACCCAACUAUCUUUUUACCUAUAAGACAAAACUCAUUUCUUUGUAUAAUGAGAUGCAAAAAUUGCAUAUAAAUAGGCUCUUUUUAGUUAAAAUUGUGUUCCAUGAUCAUAUCACAGAUUAAGUUAAAUAAGAAGUAAAAAUUUCUAAAUUAAUUUUUUUUAUAAAAUGAUUUCUUAACUGUGAAGUAAAUUAAUCUUACAUAUUUUUGUAUCUAAAAAUUUUUUUACUUUUAUUUUUAUUAAAAUAGGUGGAGGUGUUUAAUAAUUCUCCUUAUCAAAUCCUAGUCCUAACCCUAAUUCUAAUCAUAAUUAUUUCUCAUUUCUUUUCUUUCCUUUUCUUCCAUUCUAUGGAAGGAGGGAUUGGACCAGUGAGAUUCUUAGUUGACAAUUGAAGAUCAUUAAGAGAUCUUAACAAUCCAAUUUCAUGAGGGAUGAAACCAGAAAGCUCGUUCUCAAAAAGAUACAGAGUGGUUAAGUUUCUCAAGUUUCCUAUGGAUGGAGGGAUUGAACCAGUGAGACUAUUAGUUGUCAACUCAAGAUCAUUAAGUGAUGUCAACAAUCCAAUUUCUUGAGGAAUAAAACCAGAUAGUUUGUUUGUAUGAAGGUAUAAAGUGGUUAAGUUCCUCAAGUUACCUAUGGAAGAAGAGAUUGGACCAAUGAGAUUGUUAAUUGACAAUUGAAGAUCAUUAAGAGAUCUUAACAAUCCAAUUUCUUGGGGGAUGAAACCAGAAAGCUUAUUCUUGAAAAGAUGCAAAGUGGUUAAGUUCCUCAAGUUUCCUAUGGAAUGAGGGAUUGGACCUGUGAGAUUGUUAGUUGACAAUUGAAGAUCAUUAAGAGAUCUUAACAAUCCAAUUUCUUGAGGAAUGGAACCAGAAAGCUUGUUCUCAAAAAGAUACAAAGUGGUUAAGUUCCUCAGGUUUCCUAUGGAAUGAGGGAUUGGACUAGUGAGAUUGUUAGUUGACAAUUGAAGAUCAUUAAGAGAUCUUAACAAUCUAAUUUCUUGAGGGAUGAAACCAGAAAGCUCAUUCUCAAAAAUAUACAAAGUGGUUAAGUUUCUCAAGUUUCCUAUGGAUGGAGGGAUUGAACCAGUGAGACUAUUAGUUGUCAACUUAAGAUCAUUAAGUGAUGUCAACAAUCCAAUUUCUUGAGGAAUAGAACCAGAUAGUUUGUUUGUAUGAAGGUACAAAGUGGUUAAGUUCCUCAAGUUACCUAUGGAAGGAGGAAUUAGGCCUCUGAAAUUAUUAGAAGACAAUGUUAGAACGCUAAGAAAUGUUAGAAAUCCAAGUUGGGGAGAUAUUACACUAGUGAAAUGAUUGAAAGCAAAGUUAAGAUUUGUGAUUAGUUUGGAAAGAUUACCAAUGUUGAUUGGAAUGGUUCCAUAAAGGGAGUUGUUAUAAUUAUUAAGAGUGAGAAGGUUAGGGAGUGAUGAGAAAUUGAGAUUGUGGAGUGUACCUCUCAAACUACAAUUGUCAAGUUCUAAAUUGGAGACACUUCCUGACCUGUGACAAGUUACUCCAAACCAAUGAUGACAAGAAUUGCGUCCAAACCAAGAAGAGAGGAAAGAUUGGGUUUGAUUAUCAAGACUGGCUUUCCAUGUUAGAAGAGCGAGUCUUUCUUGAUCUUGUUCAACUUUUGAAAGAGAAGUGGUAGGUGUAGAGGCAGAUAUAAAAGUGACAUGGAAUGAUGAUAUUGAGUACAGAAGGACGAGGAGAAAUAUGAAGAAGUAAGGAGUGAUAAAGAGUUGAGAGAGUAAGGAGUAGGAUGAAGAAUAUUCAAGGGCCAUCAUUGAAUUGGUAGAAAUAAAGUUAUUAAGAGGUUUACAUGGAGGGAAGGAUGAAGAUGAAACACUUAUUUAUAGACUUAAAUGUGAUACAUCCAACAUUUCCAUUAGUUGGUGCUAACAUCUAACCACCCCCUUCAUCUACAAUUAAUGGAAUUCAAAAGGAUUAUAUACAUGAGCUCAAUUCCACACAUAUUUUAUUUCAUUUUAUCAAAAUGCUCUGAAUUUUUCAAUUAAAAUUUACACCUACAAUUACAUAUGAAAUAAUUAAAAAUAUUCAUUUUUCACUCUAUGCACUUUUAAAUAUAACUUGUUUAAAAUUAAUAAUUACAAUUCAUUUUAAGAAGUAAGGACCAAAUAUGCCCACGUCAACAACCUAGUUGAUACAGGAAGUCCACUUUAACCAACAUUACUCCUUGUUUGGAUUGAAUUCUUUUAACUAUUUUGCUCUAUGACAAAUGAACUCUUUUAACUCUAUUAGUUCUUUCAUAAUUUUUAUCCUUACAAUAUGAACUAUCUUAUUUCUCUUAAUAUUUUAUAAAUCAUUUAUGUUAUAUUUCAAAACCAAAUUAGUUGUCAUUUCUUCUACUUCUUUCCUAGACAAAUGCAUAAUUUGUGGUUGAUGUUUAUCAUUUUUAUUAAAGGUGUUCACAAUUUGUAAGUGAGACCCAUCAUCUAUGAAAAAUAUAGACAUGCUUUUUUUUCAUUUGGAAGUCUUAAGGAACUAGUAUUUGGACCACAACAAGGACCAAGGACUAACAAAUUUUCACUUUGUUUUUCAUCCAAAUAAGACACACAUAUGUUUAUGUAUUAUCUAUUCUAAGCCAAGGGGCUCUCAAGGCUUUAAAAUGCAUCUCUAAGGUUAAGAGGAGCCCAACACAUAUAUCAUCAUGAGUUUUUUUCCCUAUUCAACGUGAGAUGUCACAAAAAUUGUUCAACAAGAUUAAUGCAUUUGUGAAGCUCAAAAGAAUCACUAAAAUCAAAGGAAAAUAUUUUGGAAUUACAACAUAAAAGAGGCAGGACCCAUGUACACAUGCAUUUUCCUUAUCAAACAGUUGUCUUGAAAAGCCAUUCUAAAGCCCACUUGGCUUGCCAUCACUAGUGAUGGACCUACAUCAUUCAAAUUCUCAAUGCUCUUGAAAGGCCAUAUGCACUUGAAGUAAAAAGAGAUUGGAUUUUUGUUAGAUAGUUCAUUUUUGCUAUUUGGGAACAUAUUUUUCUUUUUCUUUUUUUGUUCUUUUUUCUUUUUAAUAGAACGUUUACAUGGUAGCCUGCUCCAGUCCCCUUACGAAACUUUUGUUAUUAGGUUAGCCAUACACUUCACAUGUUUGUUUCUAGCGAUUCACAUGGCAUCAUCAAAUGAUACAAGUCUUGGAUAAAAAUCUACAACACACUAGAACGCCCUUGUUGACGAUCCUUUACUCCGAUAGUGUCUAGAGUUCCUCGAACAAUGUGAUAUCUCACAUUGGGUAAAUCCUUAACCCUUCCCCCUCUUACUAAGACUACAGAAUGUUCUUGUGAAUUAUGGCCAAUACUAGGUAUAUAAGCAGUGCUUUCAAAUCCAGAGGUUAAUCGUACUCUAGCAACUUUAUGUAAGGCAGAGUUUGGUUUUUUGGGGGUGAUAGUAGAAAAGUUGACAGAUAAAUCACUCUUACUAGAGUGUAAAAUCUUCUAUUUUCUGUUCAAAUUUUAGCUUUGCAAUUAGAGUCAAUAUAUCUCGUAUUCAAUUCACUUCUCAUAUUUUCUGGACUCCUAAAUUCUAAACCCUAUCUGGGUUUUCCAGUUUUGUGAAAAAUCACAUCAUAGGGACUUAAUAGGAUGGGAUUUGAUUCAAUGUUAGAGACAAAAUUUUGGAAAAAUCUGCAAAACCCUCAACAGUUGUGGCCAUACCAUAGCUCAAGACCAAGAUGGGAAUUUACAAUCUAAUAAUGCUGAUGAAUGCUUCAUAGACUGCUCUACAAAACUAGAGUUUGUCAGAAUGCCUGUCCUUUGUUGAAAGACGUGAAGGUCCUUACAUUCUUGAGCAGGAAAAACCUAGGCCGAAAGUAAUCAGCAAAGGAUAAGAACACCAGGAUCAUUUCACACUAAAACACUUUACUCCAACUACUCUGGUUAAACGGAUUCAUCCUAGAGGAAGCUUGUGAAGAUAGCAGCCUUGUUAUAGACUUAAAUGUGAUACAUCCAACAUUCCCAUUAUUCGGUGUUGACAUCCAACUACAUCUUUGUCUACAACUAAUGGAAUUGAAAAGGAUUAUAUAGCUCAAUCCUACGCUUAUUUUAUUUUAUUUUAUCAAAGUGCUCUUGGAAUUGAAAAGGAUUAUAUAGCUCUUAAGUUUUAUUAACAUGAGUGCAAAUUAAUUUUAAUUUUGAAAAAGUUUUACUAAUUGGUAGAAUUAUAUGUGGAUAUGAAUUACUUGGAUAAAAUUUGGAGCUUUGUUGAUAUCAUGUUAGUGACUUAUUUUGUUGAGAUAUAUAGUUAUAAGACAAAUCUCAGCCAACUUUCUUUUUUUCUUAGAAAGACAAAGCUCAUUGCAAUGAAUAAUGGGAUCUAGAGACGUAUAAAAGUGUGCAUUUUUACUUAAAAAAAAAUGUGUUCCAUGACUAACAUGUAUUUCAAAUUUAAGCUCAAACAAAAAGACCACUUAAUCUACUAAGAGCUCUUUAGAGAUGAAAACAACAUAAUAAUUGAAAACAAAAAUAAACUCAUUGAUAUGAAAAUAAAAAUAUAUUUAUUUUGUUAUAAAAACUAUGAUAUCACAGAUUAAUUUGAAUGUGAAGUGAAUUGGAGUAUUGACUCUUUAAUUGAUAAAUCAAUUAAUUUUUAUAGUACUUUUUUUUAUUAAAACAAUUCCUUAAUUGUGAAGUAAAUUUUACAUAUCUAUUCAUAUGUAUUUGAUAAAAUUAACCUUAAUGGGAUAGAAACAUCAUGCAACUCCUUUUGUUUUUAUCAACAAUUCUUAUAAAGAGAUCACUUAAGGGAGAUAACUCACAUCAUCAAUGCUGAGUAGUUAUCACUAAGUGAUUAAAAUUUUUUUCCUCGAAAGAAUAUAUAUUUAUAUGAAAACUGCUUUUAUUUAAAAUCAAUCAUAAUAUAAAUCAUGUUUUAAUUUUUUAUUAAGUUAAUAAGAUUUAAAAUUAAAAUAAAUUUUACAAAAUCAGUAAAUUUUUAUAUAUAUAAAAAAAAUCAAAUGGCUCCACUCAUCCAUUGUUCAUGAUUGAUUGAACAAUGUAAAGAUGACAGUAUCUUCUAUGUAUAAUUUAAGCACUCUCACCCUAGACUUUUAUACAUGAAUAGCUAUUAGAAAAUACAAAAUUUAAUGCAAAAUUGGACUAAGGGAGUAACAUAACCUCAUCAAUGCUUGUAGUUGAUACAUAAAUAGAUUGAAGAGGAUACAACUACCAUCACAAAUAAUAGAUGAAAAAUAAUUAAUAUAACCAUAAUUUAGUUUUUCUUUUGUUUAAAUAAUCAACUAUUCUAGUUGGGGAAUGGACUAUAUAUGGGGUCCAUGAAUUAAAUUAUUGUACAAAAUGUCUUACAAGAAAAAUGUUACUUAGCUUACGAUUUAUACAUUUGCUUUCAAUUAACUAAUGGUUCUAAUAUAUAAGUGCUCAUUUGGAUAAAGUUCUUAUUUUCCAGUUUUAAAAAUAAAAAAUAGUAAUAACUUCUAUUGAAAAUAUAAAAAAUCUUCUGACUCUUAAGACACAACUACCAUCACAAAUAGUAGACAAAAAUAAUUAAUAUAUCCAUUGUGAGGUUGUUCUUUUGUUCAAAUAAUCAGCUAUUUUAGUUGGGGAAUGGACCACACAUGGGGUCCAUGAAUUAAAUUAUUGUACAAAAUGUCUCCAAGAAAAAUGUUAUUUAGAUUAUUAUUUAAACAUUUGCUUUCAAUUAAUUAAUUGCAUUAAUAAUUGAGUGUCCAUUUGGAUGGAGUUCUUAUUUUCUAGUUUUAAAAAUAAAAAAUAGUAAUAACUUCUAUACAAAACAUAAAAAGUCUUCGAGUCUUAACACACAACUACCAUCACAAAUAAUAGACGAAAAAGAAUUAAUAUAGUCAUUAUGAGGUUGUUCAUUUGUUCAAGCAAUCCACUAUUCUAGUUGGGGAAUGGACCACAUAUGUGGUCCAUGAAUUAAAUUAUUGUACAAAAUGUCUCACGAGAAAAAGGUUAUUUAGCUCACUAUUUAUACAUUUGCUUUCAAUUAAUUAAUUUUUACUAAUAAUUCAGUGCCCAUUUGGAUGGAGUUUUUAUUUUUCUAGUUUUAAAAAUAAAAAAUAGUUACAACUGCUAUAUAAAAGACAAAAAGUCUUCUAGUUUUAAGACACAACUACCAUCACAAAUAAUAGAUGAAAAACAAUCAAUAUAACCAUAAUGAGGUUGUUCUUUUGUUCAAAUAAUCAACUAUUCUAGUUGGGGAAUGGACCAUACAUGGGGACCAUGAAUUAAAUUACUGUAUAAAACAUCUCACAAUAAAAAUGUCAUUUAGCUUACUAUUUAUACAUUUCCUUUCAAUUAAUUAAUUAUACUAAUAAUUAAGUGUCCUUUUGGAUGGAGUUAUUUUCUAGUUUUAAAAAUAAAAAUAGCAAUAACUUCUACAUGAAAUAUAAAAAGUCUUUGAGUCUUAUGUCCAAAAUGUAGUGCCUUUUUAAACUUGAUUUGAAAAAAAUGAGAUAUUAAAAAAAAUUACUAUUUGGAAUUUUAAAUUUUUUGAAAAAUAUUUUUCAAAAUGUAAGGUAAGUCUAUAUUUUUUGUAUAUGAAUAUAUAUUUUUUACAUAAAGUUUUCUUUUUUAAAAGAUAAAAAAUAGCAAAUAUAUCUAAAUGGAACAUAAAUGCUUACAUAAAAAUUAUCAAACAAUGAAAUGUUACUUAAAUCUAUAGUUAAAAAUGAUAACAGCAAACUCGUAAGCAAAAAAGUAUACUUAGUAAAGAGAAUUAAGACUAAUUAAUUGCAAAAAAAUUGUGAAACAUUCAUGGGUAAGUCCAACACAUGUUUAGUGCAUGGCCCAAGUUUGUUAAAAUACUAUCAUAUAAUAAAGUUAUUAUGAACUCAAGAACUUCGGAUUACCAAAACCAACCUAAAUAAUUGGUCAUGCAUGACCUAUUUUAAAGUCUUCUGCCAAUCUUGAAGUUAACUUGAAAAUUGUGUUAACAUGUUUCUUAGAAAUACACAUUUCAAACUCUCUCAAUCUUUCUUUACCAAAAACUCAAUACACCCUUUCUCUACCUCUCUUUACUCUUUGCUUAGUUUUUCCUUCUCUAUAAAAAUACUAAAUAAAGUCACAUAUUUAUGGAGUCCUAUUGGUUAACCCUAGACCAAUAGUUUCCCAAUCCUUUGUUAAGUUCAAAAGUAACUUACCAAAACAUACACACUAUAAAUAUUUACUCUCCAAAAAAUAAAUAUUAAAAUAAUUUGAGUCAACGCACUCAACUGAAUCAUUGAUAACCAUAAUUUCUAGGGAUAUAAAAUUGUUCAACAAGAUUAAUGCAUUUGUGAGGCUUAGAAGAAUCACAAAAAUUAGAGGAACAUCUUUUGGGCAUUACCACACAAAAGAUGUAGGACCACAUAUGCAUUUUCCUUAUCAAACAAUUGUCUUGACAAGCCACUUUAAAGCCCACUUGGGCUUGCCAUCACCAUUGAUGGACCUACAUCAUUCAAAUUCUCGAUGCUCUUAAAGGUGGUAUCCACUUGAAGGUAAAAGGAUUCCAAUUUUUGUUAGAUUGUUUGUCUUUUCUAUCUGGAAACUAUUUUUCUUUUCUUUCUUUUUUAUAUCACGUUUACUCUCCUAGAAUGUAAAAUUCUCUGUUCUCUGUUCAGAUAUCAGCUUUCCAACUGGAAUUAAUACAUCUAGUAUUCAAUUCAAUCCUCAUCCUUUUCUGGCCUCCUAAAUUCUGAACUUUGUCUAGGUUUUCCAGUUUUAAGAAAAAUUACAUCAUGAGGACCCAACAUGAUGGGAUUAGAUUCAAUGUUAAAGACAAAAUUUUCAAAUAAUCUGCAAAACCCCUCAACAUUUGUGGCUAUAGUUCAAGACCAAUGUGGGAAUUUACAAUCUAAUAAUGCUGAUGAAUGCUUCAUUGACAGCUCUACCAGACUAGACUUCGACGGAAUGCAUGAUGACAAAUUUACAUGGAGAAGUGAGGACCCUUGGCUAGUUUCACCCCCAUGACCAUGGCCCAGCAGCCCAGCAGCUCAUCCAAUGUAAUCAUGGAAAACGCUUUUCACAAUGGUGGCCAUUGUGUUGAGAGUGCUCUGUCAAUUUGUUGCAUAGUUGGCCGAGAUUGGGGAUUAACAUGCAAGCAUGCAAAUGCUAAUUUGACUGCAAGUGCUACUUCCUUAGCCACUUAAUUCACAGGAGGUGGGAGCCGCUGGUCCAUCGCAUCAUUCAACAGGCAAUGGUCCACAGUUGAUGGUGAUGAGGAUGAUGAGGACGCUGAUGAUAACAGGGAUAAGAUGAGUUCUUCAGGGUGCUUUCCCAUAAUUACUUCCAAUGUUACCACUCUGAAGCUAUGAACAUCGGUUUUAUUAUCCACCUUCAUCUUGUAAGCAAGUUUUGCAAAGAAGAUUAGCUCAUGCUCUUCUCUACUAAGCAAUUGUGAAAGUUACAUAUGAUGUAUAGAGGUCGUUUAGAGAUAAGCAAGGCACUAAGUAAAAUGUACCUGGAGCAGUUUAACCAAAAGUUCCUGCCAUUGAAGUCCAAUUAGAUGAGUCUGACUUUAAAAACCUAGUCGUGCUGAAGUCAGAUACAUGAGCUUCAUAUUCUGAAUCUAACAACACAUUGUUGCUCGAUAUGUCUCGAUGAAUUAUGGGAGGUGAACAAUCAUGGUGCAUAUAGGAUAAAGCUUUAGCCACGCCUUUAACAGCAUUUAGCCUCACCAUCCAAUCUAAUUUUUCUGCUUCUUUGUCAUUGCUAAGAAUGUUUCUCAGGCUCCCCUUUUCCAUAAACUCAUAAACCAAAAAUGAGUUCUCUACAAAUGAACUGAAGCCAUAAAACUUGAUGAUAUUGCGAUGCCUUAUAUGUGUUAAAGCAUGAAUCUCACUUUUGAAAGCUUUCAAAUCAGUCAUAUCUCCAUCUUCUGAUGAGUGAAGUUUUUUCACAGCAACAACCCGACCUAUUGGCAUCUCAGUCUUGUAAAGAGAGCCAAAUCCUCCAGUGCCAAUACACUGUUUCGAACUGAAAUUGUCAAUGCCCUGUAUGAUGUGCUCAUACAACAAUUCCCCAUCAUGGUCCCAUAUUGCAAAUAGAUCUUCAACAUCUGCUUCUGGAGACUUGGUUUUUCUCUUACUCAACUUUUGGAAAAAAAAAAAAAAAUGUCAAUACUAAAAGCAAAUAAGAACAAUAGAAUGCUCACGAUGAGGAGUAUUAUGAUCAGAACAGGAAACUUGUUGGCCUUGUUUCUACUAGCACUGCAUGGCUUGAGAUGAGUGACAUUAUUACCACACAGACCUUUAUUAUUUUUGAAUGCCUCAAAUGGAGGAAAGGCUUCGAUGUUGGGGAGAGGACCUUCCAAUUAAUUGUAGGAUAUAUCAGCAACUGUCAGGCUUAUCAACUCGUCAAAUGUGUGUGGGAUGGUGCCAGAGAGCCUGUUAUGGGAGAGAUUCAACAUUUCCAGGUACUGUAAUUCUCUAAUCAGCGGUGGUAUCUCUCCUGUAAACAUAUAAAUAGACUAAGAUCGAGACUUUGAAGAUGAUGCAUCUUUCCAAUUUCAUCAGGAAUGCUAUCCACAAAUCUAUUCUCGCUCAAGUUCAAGGAUAAAAAUUUCCAGAAGUUUCCUAGUUUUUUGGGACUUCAACCGCUUAAGUUGUUUGGUGCCAAGUCAAGAAUUUCAAGAUUGGAUAAGUUUCCCAAUUCCGAAGGAAUACUUCUUGAAAGAUUGUUGUUGCCUAGCAACAAUUUGAAUAAUGAGGGCAAUAUACCAAAUUCUUUGGGUAUCUUCCCAAUCAGAUGAUUUGAGGAGAGAUCAAGUUGUUGCAGUUGAAUUGCUUUCCCAAGUUGAGGUGGUAUAUAUAGAACCAGAAAUAUUAUUGUUGGAGAUGUUCAGGUUUGUGAGCAUGUGGCACUGCCCCCAUUUCUUAAAAAGCUCACCAUAAAAAUUGUUAUUGCUUAGAUCAAUAUAAUUUAGGUGUGGGUAGACACCAAAACUUUCAUCUAUGUCUCCCAUAAGUUGGUUUCUUUCAAGCCUAACCCUAAAUAAGCUUGUGCAAUUUUUCAAUUUCUUUGGAAUAGGACCAGUGAAAUGGUUUCCUAAGGCAGCAAAUUAUUCAAGAACACUACCAAGACAGAUCUCUUGUAUAAGUUGGCCAAUGCAGUUAUUCUCAGCUAACAUCAAAGAUUUCAAAUGAGUGAUAUUAUUCAUUUAUGGAGAAAUGCACCACUGAGUCUGUUGUAAUGAAGGGCCUAAAAGGUUAAGCCCGACAAGUUUCUUAUGGAAGCUGGUAUUGAACCACUAAGAUUGUUAAAUGACAAAUUAAGAUCAAGCAAUCUCAACCAUUGAAUUUAUUGAGGGAUUGGACCAGGAAGCUUGUUCUAAAAAAGAUACAAAGUGGUUAAGUUUCUCAAGUUUCCUAUGGAAGGAGGGAUCGGACUAGUGAGACUAUUUGUAGUCAACUGAAGAUCAUUAAGUGCUGUUAACAAUCCAAUUUCUUAAGGAAUAGAACCAUAUCGUUUGUUUGUAUGAAGAUACAAUUCCUCAAGUUUCGUAUAGAUGGAGGGAUUAGACCAGUGAGAUUGUUAGCUAAUAAAUAAAGAACAUUGAGAAAUCUCAACAAUCCAAUUUCUUAAGGGAUGGAACCAUAAAGCUCAUUCUUAAAAAGGUACAAAGUGGUUAAGUUCCUCAAGUUACCAAUGGAAGGAAGGAUUGGACCAAUGAGGUUUGAUAAUAGAAGAUUAUUAAGUGAUUUCAAUAAUCCAAUUUCUUGAGGGGUAGAACUAGAAAGCUCAUUCUAAAAAAGAUGUAAAGUGGUUAAGUUCCUCAAGUUUCCUACAGAUGAAGGGAUCAAACCAAUGAGAUUGUUAGCUAAUAAAUCAAGAAAAUUAAGAUAUCUCAACAAUCUAAUUUCUUGAGGAAUAGAACCAGAAAGCUCAUUCUUAAAAAGGUACAAAGUGGUUUCUGAAGGAAAGAUGAGUUUUCAAUUCUGUGCGCCAAAGGAAAAGAAUGAAAUAGAAGAAGAAGAUGAGAUUUUUUUUUCUCGAUUUCUGAAGGAAGAGAUAAGGAGUUGUUUUGUAAAUGAAGUAGAAGAGGAGAAGUUGUAAGUGUUGGAGGAAAAUAAAAGGAGGGGUAUUUUUGUCUCAAUCGAGUCACUUUUUGUAUUUUUGAACGGUGGGUUAUUUUUGCAAAUAUGGGGGUUAUUUUGACCCCUUUAACCAAAUAACACAACAAAAAAUAGGAAAACAUAUUUGACAACCAAAAACUAAUUUUUGUUUUCUGUUUAGAAAACAUAGUGUUUUUAGAUAACAUAUUUUAGUUGUUUUUAGUUGUUUUCACUUGUUUUUUAAAGGUUGUUUUAAAAAAUAUAAUUAUACAAACAUGUAGAAUGAUUAAAAAUAAAACAGGAGAUAUAAAAAUUAUUUUUAAAUCAUAUUUAAAAAUAUUAAAACCAUGUUAAAAACAAUUCAAGUUCUCAAACAAACUUUUGUUUUAUAAAACAUCAGAUAAUAGUUUUCAAAAAUUGCUCUAAAAAAUUGUUUUUCAGACUAUUUUUAAAAAUAGUUGUCAUGUCAAAUAGGGCCUAAACUUCAUUCCUUAAGUACAUUUAUCUAUAUGAAAACUUCUUUAGAUAAGGUAAAAUCAAUUUAGGAGAAUCAAUUUUGUUUUAUAUCCAUAUGAAAAACAAAAUCAAUUUAUGAGAUUUAAAUAUGAGGUCUUUUAGUUUAAUUGAUCAACUGUUCUAAGUUGGGGAAUGGACUAUACAUGGGUCCAUGAAUUAAAUUAUUGUAGAAAAUGUCUCAAAAGAAAAUUUUACCUGGCUUACUAUUUAUAAAUUUGUUUUCAAUUAAUUUAUUUGUACUAAAUAAUUAAGUGUCCAUUUAGAUAUAAUUCUCAUUUUCUAUUUUUUUUUUUAAAAAAUAGAAAUAACUUCUUAUAUAAAAUACAAAAAAUUCUUGAAGUCUUACACAAAAAAUAGUGGUUUUUAAAAAUUGAGGCAUGAAAAAAAUUUACUAUUUCAAAUUUAAAAUUUUUUUAAAGUAUAAGUUAAGUUCAUACUUUUUGUAUUAGAGUUUCAACUUUUUAUAUAAAAAUUUCUAUUUUUAGAAACAAAAAAACAAAAAAUGUAUUCAAACAAAAUAUAAAUACUUAAAUAUAAAAUGUAUCAAGUACCGGAAUUUAACUUUAACUAAUAAUUAAAAAUGAUGAUAAUAACUUAUGAGCAAAAAACUAUACUUAGUAAAAAGAUUUAAAACUAAUUAAUUUCAAAUAAAUUGUGAAACAAAGAGCCUAGUAAUUCAUGGGCAAAUUUAACACAUAUUUACUACAAGGCCUAAGUUUGUUCACAUCUUAUUAAAUAAUAAAAUUGCCAUCAACUCAAUAACUCCCAAAUAAUAAAACCAUUGAAAUCAUUCAUUUGACCAUGCUUAACCCAUUUUAAAGUUUUUGCCCAACUUGAAGUCAUCUUAAAAACCUUGUCCCAUAGUUUCAUGUGAAUGUUGACUUGGAUAGGUGUUGUCUACUUUUGAAUACCAACAACAACUUAAAUAAUUCCUCAUGCAUUUAAAGUCUUUGCUAACUUCAAAUCAUCUUAAAAGACUUGUCUCAUAGCUUUACAUGCAUUUAUGACUUUGAUAGAAUUCAUGACUUUGAUGUGUGGUACCAACUCAAAAUACCAAAAACCACCGAGAUAAUUGCUCAUGUUUAACCCAUUUUAAAGUCUUUGCCCAAUUUGAAAUCAUCUUAAAAAAACUUGUCCCAUGGUUUUCACAUACAUUCAUGACUUUGAUAGGUAGUGUCAACUUUCAAAUAAAACAAAUGACCAAAAUAAUUGCUCUUGCUUCACCCAUUUUAAAGUCUUUCCCUAACUUGAAAUCAUCUUUAAAAAACUUGUCUCAUAGUUUCACAUGUAUUUUUUACUUUGAUAGACCAUGCCAACUUUUUGCUUAACCCAUUUUAGAGUCUUUGCCCAACUUGAAAUUAUCUUAAAAAACUCGUUCCAUAAUUCUCACAUGAAUUCAUAAAUUUCAUAGGUAGUGUCAACUUUUGAAACAAAAAAAUGAUUUGACCCAUUUUUAAGUCUUUGCCUAACUUGAAAUCAUCUUGAAAAACUUGUUCCAUAGUUUCACAUGCAUUCAUGACUUUGAUAGGUAGUGUCAACAUUGUGCUUAACCCAUUUUAAAGCCUUUGCCCACCUUGAGUCAUCUUAAAAAACUCAUCCCAUAGUUUCCCAUGCAUUCAUAACUUUGAUAGGUAGUGUUAACUUCCUGCUUAACCCAUUUUAAAGUUGUUGCCAACUUCAAAUCAUCUUAAAAGACUUGUCUCACAGUUUUACAUGCAUUUAUGACUUUGAUAGAAUGCAUGACUUUGAUAUGUGGUACCAACUCAAAAUGCCAAAAUCCACUAAAAUAAUUGCUCAUACUUGACCCAUUUUAAAGCCUUUGCCCAACUUGAAAUCAUCCUAAAAAACUUGUCCCAUAGUUUUCACAUGCAUUCAUAAGUUAGAUGGGUAUUGUCGACUUUGAAAUAACAAAAAUGAUGAAACUAAUUGUUCCUGCUUCACCCAUUCUAAAGUCUUUGCCUAACUUGAAAUCAUCUUUAAAAAACUUGUCUCAUAGUUUCAUAUGUAUUUUUUUUACUUUGAUAGGCCAUGUCAACUUUGUUUUUUUACCCAUUUUAAAGUUUUUUCCCAACUUGAAAUCAUCUUUAAAAACUUGGUCC